GCCCUUGGAAGGGAUGUAUUUAUUAGAUUAAAAACCAAUGCCCUUCGGGGCUCACUGGUGAUUCAUGAUAACUCCUCGAAUCGCAUGGCCUUGUGCCGGCGAUGGUUCAUUCAAAUUUCUUCCCUAUCAACUUUCGAUGUUUGGGUAUUGGCCAAACAUGGUUGCAACGGGUAACGGAGGGUUAGGGCUCGACCCCGGAGAAGGAGCCUGAGAAACGGCUACUACAUCCAAGGAAGGCAGCAGGCGCGCAAAUUACCCAAUCCCGACACGGGGAGGUAGUGACAAUAAAUACUGAUACAGGGCUCUUUUGGGUCUUGUAAUUGGAGUGAGUACAAUUUAAAUCCCUUAACGAGGAACAAUUGGAGGGCAAGUCUGGUGCCAGCAGCCGCGGUAAUUCCAGCUCCAAUAGCGUAUAUUAAAGUUGUUGUGGUUAAAAAGCUCGUAGUUGAACCUUGGGCCUGGCUGGCCGGUCCGCCUCACCGCGUGUACUGGUCCGGCCGGGCCUUUCCCUCUGUGGAACCCCAUGCCCUUCACUGGGUGUGGCGGGGAACCAGGACUUUUACAAGGGC
rnacentral:rRNA from 1 species